rnacentral:rRNA from 1 species
AUACGGAGGAUCCGAGCGUUAUCCGGAUUUAUUGGGUUUAAAGGGAGCGUAGGCGGACGCUUAAGUCAGUUGUGAAAGUUUGCGGCUCAACCGUAAAAUUGCAGUUGAUACUGGGUGUCUUGAGUACAGUAGAGGUGGGCGGAAUUCGUGGUGUAGCGGUGAAAUGCUUAGAUAUCACGAAGAACUCCGAUUGCGAAGGCAGCUCACUGGGCUGGUACUGACACUGAGGCUCGAAAGUGUGGGUAUCAAACAGGAUUAGAUACCCUGGUAGUCCCCACAGUAAACGAUGAAUACUCGCUGUUUGCGAUAUACAGCAAGCGGCCAAGCGAAAGCAUUAAGUAUUCCACCUGGGGAGUACGCCGGCAACGGUGAAACUUAAAGGAAUUGACGGGG